rnacentral:sRNA from 1 species
CUUGUCCUAUGUUGCCAGGGCGUCAUGUCGGGGACUCAUAGGAGACUGCCGGGGUCAACUCGGAGGAAGGUGGGGAUGACGUCAAGUCAUCAUGCCCCUUACGUCCUGGGCUGCACACAUGCUACAAUGGCCGGUACAAUGGGCUGCGAUACCGUGAGGUGGAGCGAAUCCCAAAAAGCCGGUCUCAGUUCGGAUCGGGGUCUGCAACUCGACCCCGUGAAGUCGGAGUCGCUAGUAAUCGCAGAUCAGCAAUGCUGCGGUGAAUACGUUCCCGGGCCUUGUACACACCGCCCGUCACGUCACGAAAGUCGGUAACACCCGAAGCCGGUGGCCCAACCCUUGUGGGGGGAGCCGUCGAAGGUGGUACCGGGGAUUGGGACGAAGUCGUAACAAGGUAGCCGUACCGGAAGGUGCGGCUGGAUCACCUCCUUUCUAAGGAGCUUUCUGGCUGGGUGGCCCUGUAGUGGGGGGUGGCUUGGCCCGGGGCGAUGAUCGCCCAAUGGGUGGGCUGGGUUCCCCAUGGGUGGAACGCUGGCUUGGUCUUGCUUACUGCUGGUUCGGAUCUUGGGUUCCCCGUGUGGGCUUUGGGGUUGGGCUUGGGGGUUUGUUGGGUCCGUACGCUGUUUGGUUCCUAAGGAAUUAAGGUUCCCCUCCUGUUGUGGCCCCUUGCUUUUUGCGCUUUUUAGACCCUCGGAUGGCCCUUUCGGGUUGUCGGGGGUGUUUGGGUGGGGGUGGCUGUUCCCGCCCUUGUUUCUUGUGGGGAUACCCGCUGUUACUCUUUUGUGUUGGUGAGCUGGUCUUCCUUGGGCAUGACUGGGUUUCCGUUCGUAGUUUGAGAACUGCACAGUGGACGCGAGCAUCUUUAUCUUUGUGGCCAAGUUAUUAAGGGCGC